CAGCAGCCACGGUAAUACGAAGGGUGCAAGCGUUACUCGGAAUUACUGGGCGUAAAGCGUGCGUAGGUGGUGGUUUAAGUCCGUUGUGAAAGCCCUGGGCUCAACCUGGGAAUUGCAGUGGAUACUGGGUCACUAGAGUGUGGUAGAGGAUAGUGGAAUUUCCGGUGUAGCAGUGAAAUGCGUAGAGAUCGGAAGGAACAUCUGUGGCGAAGGCGACUAUCUGGGCCAACACUGACACUGAGGCACGAAAGCGUGGGGAGCAAACAGGAUUAGAUACCCCCGUAGUCCCUGUCUCUUAUAA
rnacentral:rRNA from 1 species